UACGUAGGGGGCUAGCGUUGUCCGGAAUCAUUGGGCGUAAAGCGCGUGUAGGCGGUCCGGUAAGUCCGCUGUGAAAGUCGAGGGCUCAACCCUCGAAUGCCGGUGGAUACUGUCGGGCUUGAGUACGGGAGAGGCGAGUGGAAUUCCUGGUGUAGCGGUGAAAUGCGCAGAUAUCAGGAGGAACACCGAUUGCGAAGGCAGCUCUCUGGUCGACCUCUGACGCUGAGACGCGAAAGCGUGGGGAGCGAACGGG
rnacentral:rRNA from 1 species